rnacentral:rRNA from 1 species
AUUAAUUAUAUAAAAUUAGAUAAUAUAUCACGAAUAAAAGUGAGCUAAAUAUACAUAUAUUUAGUGUUAUAGCACGUAGCAUAGUGUGAAAAAUAUAUAUUUAGGGGUGAUAGGCCUUCCAAACUUUUUGAUAACUUGUUGCACAUGAAACGUAUUAAGUACAUAGACAUACUUAAAAAGUUAAGCUUUUAAGUGUUUAUUAAAAAUAUUAAAUAUUUUUAACACAGAAUAAUUUCUGGUUAUAAAAUAUUUUCGCAUUAAGUUUAUAUUUUUAUAUUUAUUAGUGUGUCAGUUUAUAUUAUUGUUCUUAUUUGACAAUGUUAAUAUUAGUAGUAUAAAUAAAUACAUUUAAGGAACUCGGCAAUAUUACCAUUCAACUGUUUACCAAAAACAUAGCUACUUGAGUUAAUAAGUAGUUAUUUCUGCUCCAUGAUAAUUAAAUAGCCGCAGUACCCUGACUGUGCAAAGGUAGCAUAAUCAGUUGGCUCUUAAUUAGAGUCUGGAAUGAAUGAAAACAUGGAUGGUAACUAUCUAAGUGUAUUUUUUUGAACUUAAUAAAUAAGUGAAAAUACUUAUAUUAAUAUAAUAGACGAGAAGACCCUAGAAACUUGAAUUGAUUUUUGUUGGGGCGACAAAAUUACAUUUAACUAAUUUUUUUAAACGGGACGUUAAAACGAAAGAAUAAGUUACUCUAGGGAUAACAGCAUAAUUUUAAUAGUUUGUGACCUCGAUGUUGGACUAGGUAUUAUAUCCUUAAGAGAAGGAUAUAAGGUGCUCUGUUCGAGCAAAUACACCUACAUGAUCUGAGUUCAGACCG